CCUACGGGCGGCAGCAGUGGGGAAUAUUGGACAAUGGGCGAAAGCCUGAUCCAGCCAUGCCGCGUGUGUGAAGAAGGCCUUCGGGUUGUAAAGCACUUUCAGUGGGGAAGAAAGCCUUGGGGCUAAUACCCUCGAGGAAGGACAUCACCCACAGAAGAAGCACCGGCUAACUCCGUGCCAGCAGCCGCGGUAAUACGGAGGGUGCGAGCGUUAAUCGGAAUUACUGGGCGUAAAGCGCGCGUAGGCGGUCUGAUAAGCCGGUUGUGAAAGCCCCGGGCUCAACCUGGGAACGGCAUCCGGAACUGUCAGGCUAGAGUGCAGGAGAGGAAGGUAGAAUUCCCGGUGUAGCGGUGAAAUGCGUAGAGAUCGGGAGGAAUACCAGUGGCGAAGGCGGCCUUCUGGACUGACACUGACGCUGAGGUGCGAAAGCGUGGGUAGCAAACAGGAUUAGAUACCCCGGUAUUC
rnacentral:rRNA from 1 species